rnacentral:tRNA from 1 species
GGGCACGUGGUGUAGUUGGUUAUCACGCUCGCUUAGCAUCCGAUUUGCGAGAGGGGUCCGGUUCGAUCCCGGACGUGUCCA